UUGUUAUGACUCUAAAGUUAUCGGAUACCAGUCAAAACAAAUUGCGGCCGAGUGUCGCCAUGACUAGAACAGCUUCUCAUUAAAUCUUACCAUCAACAAAUAGAGUUAGGUUCGUACCCCCAUUGAAAAUCGCCUUGUUUGUAAUUACGGGUUACCAUGGCAAUUCUAUAUUACAACUUUGAUGUUAAACCAGUGCAUUCAAUAAAGUAUCGACACAACUCCCCAGGGAGUUGACCUGCUGCUAUUUGUCUUGGAGAAUUUGUGUGUACAAUAAAAUAAAUAUGGGCCCGGAAAACACAGUAUCCAGAAAAAAAUUCGAUCCCGGGAUUUUCAGGCGUAUAUAAAACUUACGAAUCAAUGAUAUAGGCAUAUAAAGUUCUACCAGUUGGUGCCCUUAUAGAUUCCGUCCCAUUUUUAAUAGAUAUAGACUAUACUAACAUAGGUUAAAUGUCAGCACCGCAAUUUUUAAUGUAUUCUUGUAAUUGUUUCUAGGUAUAUAGAGCACAGGAAUGACUCACGAAAAGUCACUAAGUUAGAUUUUAGCAAGUGCUACUUUCAUGUUUGUACUAUUGCUAAGAGUAAUGUUUUUCCUUACAUAUACAUAGGUACAUAUACAAUUAAAUAUAUGUCGUUUCCCCAUAAUGUGGUAUAGAUCACAACUUACACCUCCAGAUAUUUUUCAUGGCCACUAAUAUUACUUGUAUUUAAUAUAUGUACCUAAAUUGAAAUUAUAUACCUAGCAUAAUGCCCACUAUAUGACAAAUUGAGGCUUCAUAUUCCAAUAUACCUAUAUAUUUUAUAAAUACAUGAAACACUACACAUAUUGUAAUAGCAAUGUACUAUUUUAGAACAUUUAGUAGACGGUUCUAAUAACUUGUACUUAGUAUGUAUAAAUAUUGAAAUGCAAAAUAAAGGAAAAAAACAGAAAUAUAUGCAAAAUAUCCUGCGAAUGAAAAUAAUAUUUUGAUGGACAUGUGGUGCACUUUCAAAAUCAUUAUAGCAUAAAAUAAACUGUGAUUGCUGCAAAAAAAUGUUU